rnacentral:tRNA from 1 species
GCAGAUGUGGUGGAAUUGGUAGACACGCAAGCUUCAGGUGUUUGUGCUCAAAAGGCGUGAGAGUUCGAGUCUCUCCAUCUGCACCA